AAUCUCCCUUCUUCCUGAAACUUCCGCAUUAUAAAUCAUAGAAGACAAGGGAUCCCUCAAGGAGGUUUUGAUGGAAGUAGUCAGCGACCAACACACCUACCUUCUGGAAGCAGGACAAAGAAGGACAGCUGAGAAACUUCUCAUGAUGAUGGUGGAACAUUGGCCAUCUCCAUAAAGAAAAAGAGAACUACGGUAGCUAAGAAAAUGUUCUUUGGGAAAAGAAUAA